rnacentral:rRNA from 1 species
UAUAACUCCUUUGGAACAGGGGAUCAUAGAGGGUGAGAAUCCCGUCUUUGACUCAGAGUACGCCGCGUACGAAGCGCUUUCAACGAGUCGAGUUGUUUGGGAUUGCAACUCUAAAUGGGUGGUAAACUUCAUCUAAAGCUAAAUAUUGGCGAGAGACCGAUAGCGAACAAGUACCGUGAGGGAAAGAUGAAAAGAACUUUGAAAAGAGAGUCAAAAAGUACUUGAAAUUGUUAAGAGGGAAGCGAUGGAAACCAGUGCAUUUGUGCUUUUGGCUAUACUUAACCUUGGCAUGGUGGGCAAGGGUGUCUUCGGCGUGGUCAAACCGCUGAGGGUGUUUUUCGCUUGCCUGUUGUGGUGUUCUGUAGUUAGGAGCGUGUCAACAUCACUUUGGAUCUCAGGAGAAUGGCAGGCUUUCGCUGCUAUGGCUUCCGAGCUGUGGUAGGGGGUCGGUUGAUACUGAGGACUGGAGUGAGGCUUUUCUUCUUGUAAAUCCGCCCCGCAAGGGUGUGGCUCUGCUCAUCGUUGCUGUAGGCUUUUGGGAGAGGAAUCUGCCGGGGCUAAAGGUGAUGCAUGUGGUAGUCUGCUUUCAGCGGAUUCGAGAUGUUGACGAAAUGGUUUUUAUUGACCCGUCUUGAAACACGGACCAAGGAGUCUAACGUAUAUGCGAGUAUUUGGGUGUCUAAACCCUGAUGCGGAAUGAAAGUAAAGGCGGGCUUGUCUCGCUGAGGUAGGAACCUUCCGGGUCUCCUGGAGGGGGCACUAUCGACCGAUCAACACUUGUGUAAGGAUUUGAGUAAGAGCAUAUCCGUUGGGACCCGAAAGAUGGUGAUCUAUGCCUGAACAGGAUGAAGCCAGGGGAAACUCUGGUGGAAGUCCGUAGCGAUACUGACGUGCAAAUCGUUCGUCUGAUUUGGGUAUAGGGGCGAAAGACUAAUCGAACCAUCUAGUAGCUGGUUCCCUCCGAAGUUUCCCUCAGGAUAGCUGGAACUAAAAGUUUAAACAGUUGCAUCGGGUAAAGCUAAUGAUUAGAGGUACUCGGAAUGAAACAUUCUGAACCUAUUCUCAAACUUUAAAUAGGUGCGAACCCUGUAGAUACUUAACUGAUCUCGGGGAUCGAAUGGAUAGUUCUUAGUGGGCCAUUUUUGGUAAGCAGAACUGGCGAUGCGGGAUGAACCGGACGUUGACUUACGGUGCC